UAGGGAAUCUUCCACAAUGGGCGAAAGCCUGAUGGAGCAACGCCGCGUGGGUGAAGAAGGUCUUCGGAUCGUAAAACCCUGUUGUUAGAGAAGAAAGUGCGUGAGAGUAACUGUUCACGUUUCGACGGUAUCUAACCAGAAAGCCACGGCUAACUACGUGCCAGCAGCCGCGGUAAUACGUAGGUGGCAAGCGUUAUCCGGAUUUAUUGGGCGUAAAGGGAACGCGGGCGGUCUUUUAAGUCUGAUGUGAAAGCCUUCGGCUUAACCGGAGUAGUGCAUUGGAAACUGGGAGACUUGAGUGCAGAAGAGGAGAGUGGAACUCCAUGUGUAGCGGUGAAAUGCGUAGAUAUAUGGAAGAACACCAGUGGCGAAAGCGGCUCUCUGGUCUGUAACUGACGCUGAGGUUCGAAAGCGUGGGUAGCAAACAGG
rnacentral:rRNA from 1 species